rnacentral:rRNA from 1 species
CAACUCUUGGCAAUGGAUCUCUUGGUUCUCGCAUCGAUGAAGAGCGUAGCAAAGUGCGAUAAUUAUUGCGACUUGCAUUCAUAGUGAAUCAUCGAGUUCUUGAACGCAUCUUGCGCCUAGUAGUCAAUCCACUAGGCACAGUUGUUUCAGUAUCAUC